AUGUCAUUUGCCGGCGUCUCUCUCGUCGGCGGCGAUGGCGAGGCCGUCGGCCACGCCAUCAACGUCUCCGCGGCCAGCGGGUACCACCUGCUCGUGGUUAACCGCUACUCGCACAUCAAAGCCAUUACACCUAAUCGCAGAAACAUCCUCUCUCUCCCUUUCAUGAUAGGAGGUCAUCGUUGGCGCAUCAGCUACUAUCUUAAUGGCGACCGCUCAAAGUGUGCGGACUCUGUAUCUCUUUAUUUUCUUCUCGAUGAAAAUGCCGUGGAGCGUCUGAAGGUACAGUUUGGAUUUAGUUUCAUCGACGAGCUUGAGAAGCAAGAUUCAACAUAUAUUCGUGCAAAAAAGGCAGACAAUUUCUCCAGCUGUCACCCCUCUUGGGGUUACAGGAAUUUCAUGAAAAGAGACGCCCUUGAGAAAUCAAAGCAUCUAAAAGAUGAUUGUUUCACCAUCCGCUGUGACGUCGCCAUUGCCACGACAGUUGAUCUCCUCAUCAAGGUGCCGCCUUCUAGCAUAAAACAGCAUAUCAGCGACCUUUUCCUGUCCGAGGAGGGCACGGACGUGACAUUCAUGGUGUCCGGUCAGAAGUUCGCUGCCCACCGAUGCGUGCUUGCAGCUCGGUCUGUGGUUUUCAAGGCGGAGCUGCUUGGCUCCAUGAAGGAGGGCACUGUAGCAAGUGUCAUAGAUGUAGAAGACAUGGAAGCAAAGGUGUUUAGGUCCUUGCUUGACUUUAUUUACACCGACUCGCUGCCCAAGAUGGAGAUAGACAUGGGGGGUGAGGAAGGAGAAGCCCAGGAAGCAUUGUGGCUGCAACACUUGCUUGCAGCAGCGGAUAGAUAUGAUCUCCAAAGGCUCAAAGGACUAUGUGAAGAAAAGCUGUGCUCUCACAUAGAUGUGAGCUCGGUGACGACUAUUCUUACUCUAGCUGAGCAGCAUAAUUGUCAUGGGUUGAAGGAGGUUUGCUUUGAAUUCAUCAAGACUCCCGCCAAUUUGAAGGAGAUAACGGCGGCUGACGGCUUGGAGGACAUAACUAGAACCUGUCCUUCUCUUCUGAAGGAGCUCAUUGCUAAGCUUGCUUCCUAA
rnacentral:rRNA from 1 species